UUAUUUAAGGCGCCACACAAUCCGUUAAUUCGCAACGGGCACUGAUUGUGAAGUGAUGUUGGAAACAAGAGUUCAUACAAUAACGAAAAUUUAACAACACAAAGAUAUGGAAAGGAAAUAAAGAAACUCAAUAGAUGCAGUCAACUUCGAAAAGGUAUGAGUUGGAUGAUCUUCAGCAGCUUCCUUCGAGAUGGUAUGGUAAGGAGUGGAUAUCCAGUGGUAUUGAAGUUAUUAAAAUGUGCUCAGAAUUUUAGGACCAAGAAUUUCAUUACCAAAAUGGUUCCCCCAAA